rnacentral:rRNA from 1 species
AUUGAACGCUGGCGGCAUGCCUUACACAUGCAAGUCGAACGGCAGCACGGGAGCUUGCUCCUGGUGGCGAGUGGCGAACGGGUGAGUAAUACAUCGGAACGUACCCAGGAGUGGGGGAUAACGUAGCGAAAGUUACGCUAAUACCGCAUAUUCUGUGAGCAGGAAAGCGGGGGAUCGCAAGACCUCGCGCUCUUGGAGCGGCCGAUGUCGGAUUAGCUAGUUGGUGGGGUAAGAGCUCACCAAGGCGACGAUCCGUAGCGGGUCUGAGAGGAUGAUCCGCCACACUGGGACUGAGACACGGCCCAGACUCCUACGGGAGGCAGCAGUGGGGAAUUUUGGACAAUGGGCGCAAGCCUGAUCCAGCCAUGCCGCGUGAGUGAAGAAGGCCUCGGUUGUAAG